rnacentral:rRNA from 1 species
ACCCAGAAAACGCGGGAGAAACGGUAUGGCUGCGAGGACGCGAGAGGUAGAGGGAACUCAUGGUGUAGGGGUGAAAUCCGUUGAUAUCAUGGGGAACACCAAAUGCGAAGGCACUCUACUGGCGCGCUCCUGACGCUGAAACACGAAAGCGUGGGAAUCGAACGGGAUUAGAUACCCCGGUAGUCCACGCCCUAAACGAUCAUCACUGGCUUUAAGGAGUAUCGACCCUCUUUGAGGCGAAGCUAACGCGUUAAGUGAUGCGCCUGGGUAGUACGAUCGCAAGAUUAAAACUCAAAGGAAUAGACGGGGACUUGCACAAGCGGUGGAUCAUGCGGCUCAAUUCGAUGACAAACGAAGAACCUCACCAGGGUUUGAAACCCCAGACGACCGCCUAGGAAACUAGGCUUUCGCAAGACGGCUGGGCAGGUGAUG